UAACUAUACUUGACUUAAAAUGUAAAAAAAAACAAAAAGAACUAACACUCAUUCAAACCUUUUUACGCCUUUUGUGCCUUUGUUAAACUUAAACUUUUGUUAAAAGCAAUACACCCAUUUUGAAAUUGUUGCCACGAACUACGAGGUUUUGAUCCCUCAUUUUAUGUUGGUACGUAGGCACAAGUCCGAAGGUCUUGUCAAACACAAAAAUAUAAUUAAUGAAU
rnacentral:lncRNA from 1 species